UACAGGACGAACGCUGGCGGCGUGCCUAAUACAUGCAAGUCGAACGGUCUUUUCUAUGGAAGCUUGCUUCCACUGAGAAGAUAGUGGCGGACGGGUGAGUAACACGUGGGUAACCUGCCCAUAAGAGGGGGAUAACAUCCGGAAACGGGUGCUAAUACCGCAUAGUUUUCUUGAUCGCAUGAUUGAGAAAGGAAAGACGGCCUUUGUGCUGUCGCUUAUGGAUGGACCCGCGGCGUAUUAGUUAGUUGGUGAGGUAACGGCUCACCAAGACGAUGAUACGUAGCCGACCUGAGAGGGUGAUCGGCCACAUUGGGACUGAGACACGGCCCAAACUCCUACGGGAGGCAGCAGUAGGGAAUCUUCCGCAAUGGACGAAAGUCUGACGGAGCAACGCCGCGUGAGUGAAGAAAGGUUUUCGGAUCGUAAAACUCUGUUGUCAGAGAAGAACAAGUCGGAGAGUAACUGCUCCGGCCUUGACGGUAUCUGACCAGAAAGCCACGGCUAACUACGUGCCAGCCGCUGC
rnacentral:rRNA from 1 species